AGAGUUUGAUCCUGGCUCAGGACGAACGCUGACGGUGUGGUUUAGGCAUGCAAGUCGAACGAGAAAGCCCUUCGGGGUGAGUAAAGUGGCGAACGGGUGAGUAACACGUGGGCAACCUGCCCCUCGCAGGGGGACAACCGGAGGAAACUCCGGCUAAUACCCCGUAAGCUCUCAGGGUCGCAUGGCCUUGUGAGGAAAGGUAGCUUCGGCCAUCCGGCGAGGGAUGGGCCCGCGGUGCAUUAGCUAGUUGGUGGGGUAACGGCUCACCAAGGCAACGAUGCAUAGCUGGUCUGAGAGGAUGAUCAGCCACACUGGGACUGAGACACGGCCCAGACUCCUACGGGAGGCAGCAGCCAGGAAUCUUGGGCAAUGGGCGAAAGCCUGACCCAGCAACACCGUGUGGGCGAUGAAGGCCUUAGGGUCGUAAAGCCCUGUUGACAGGGACGAAGGGCGAAGGGUUAAUAGCCCCUAGCUUGACGGUACCUUUCGAGAAAGCCCCGGCUAACUACGUGCCAGCAGCGGCGGUAAUUC
rnacentral:rRNA from 1 species